GUUAAAUACAAAUACAGUAUUAAAAUUAAGUUUAUCUCUCUCUUUUUGUGAUUUAUUAAUGUGGCUACUAGAAAAAUUUAAACUACCUAUGUGGCUGGCAUUACAUUUCUAUCAGACAGCGCCCAGCUAGACUGCGACACAGACGGCAGCCUUCUGGGCUUUAUCUGCAGGUGAAUUCUAAAAGGUGAAACGCUGGGGACCAGUGUUUGCAUGCUCACACUUCUCAAGAGUCCUCCCUAAACAUCCGAGCUGUAGGUGUGCUAUCUGGACCACUCCCUGUCCUGGGUUUCAGAUUGCCUCCUCCUCUUGAACGACUGGGCUUUAUCCUCAGAGUAGCUGCCUUUUGAACCCUUGUCUUUUUUUUUGGCUGUGCUUGCGGCAUGUGGAAGUUCCCCGGCCAGGAAUCGAACCUGAGCCACGGUAGCAGCCCGAGCCACUGUAGUGACAACGCCUGAUCCUUCACCUGCUGAGCCACACGGGAACUCCUGCUUUUUGAAGUCUUAGUCAGCUUCGUCAGGCCCCACCCCCAUCCCCCAGUUUCUGAGUUCACUUCCUAGGGAACCCCCAGCCCCCUGCUCCCCUGUGUUCUGGUUACUCUUGGACCUGCCACAGUGUGGGUGGUUCCUGAACUCCCCUCCUCUGCUUUCCUCGGCUCUUCUGGGCUUGCGCCACGUUUUACUGAAAUUUCCCCAUCAAUCUCUAAGUUGGCUCCCAUAUUUUGCAGGAUCAUGUAGCGUGUUAGGAGCAUAAUUUGAAAAGAAAAUCUAGGCGAAGCAGAUUCCACUCUUGAUCUCAAAUUACACUGUUGCUCAUUUUAUCCAGCAGCCCAGGUCAUCAUUUCUUUUGAAUAAUGCUUAUAUUUAUAGAGGUGAUUUGCUUAGAAGAAUUGGGAAAUGUCAAGAGUAUAAGGAAGAAAAUAAUGUUAACACGUUUGCUGCAUUUCCUUUCUUUUUGCUUUGCGUCUUUCUUUUCAAUGUGAGAUCACUUAAUGUUGACACUUUUAUUGGGUUUUUCCUCUUAAUGUAAUAGAAGUAUUUCCACAUGGUGUUAAAAGCAGGCUUUUAAGUUCAUUUUUCAGGCAACGUAACGUUGUAACAUCCCGUUGCAAGGAUAGUUUGUCAUUUUCCCAAUUUUACCUGUAAUUUUGAGUAUUAAGACCAUUUCCUGUAUUUUUCUCUCAUAACUCGUGCUGAGAUGUGUGUGUCUGAUACGGGUGUGUCUAUACCAAUAUGUGCACAUGUGUGAAUAAACCUAUUCCAUCUUUCAGAUUUCUGGCAGUAGAAUGAUGAGGAAGUCAAAGGUUCUAGAUGGUUUUCAGGUUCUUUUUUUUUUUUGUCUUUUCUAGGGCUGCUCCCUUGGCAUAUGGAGGUUCCCUGGCUAGGGGUCUAAUCGGAGCUGUAGCUGCUGGCCUACGCCACAGCCACAGCCACAGCCACACCAGAUCCGAGCCGAGUCUGGGACCUACACCACAGCUCAUGGCAACGCCGGAUCCUUAACCCACUGAGCAAGGCCAGGGAUUGAACCCGCAACCUCAUGGUUCCUAGUCGGAUUCAUUAACCACUGAGCCAUGACGGGAACUCCAGUUUUCAGGUUCUUAAUGCACAUCGUUAGGUCACUUUCCCAUUUGGUUUUGCAAAAUUCAGCCACAAAAUAAUGUCAGACAUUUCUCCUUUAUGGAGUUGCUUUCUUACUGUUUUUUUUUUUUUUUCCUUUUUUAAAAUCUAUUUUUCUUUUUUCUUUUUUUAAAACUUUUUUUCUUUUCAUGGCCACUCCCAUGGCAUGUGGAAGUUCCCAGGCUAGAGGUCAAAUUGGAGCUGUAGCUGCUGGCCUCCACCGCAGUCACAGUAGCGCCAGAUCUAAGCCACAUCUGCGACCUACACCAUGCUUUAUUGCUUGGGCCACGGGAGCAGCUUCGUAGGCCUGCAGUGCUGGUUAUGUGCUGAGGUUUGCUGUGGCUGAGUGGGAAGAAUUCUGCCCUGGGUCUGAGGACCAAUCACUGUCCUAUCACCUCAGAUAACUUGGGAAGGUCACUCGGCUUCCAGGCCUCCAUCAACCUUGUUUUGUCAUUGGUUAAGGGUGGAUUAUGACACCUACUUUAGGGCUGCUGGAGGGUGAAACUAGCUAAUAUAAAUCUGACCUCUCAGGAGGGCCCUGCUGUGUUCCGUUGUUACCUGUUUCGGUGGAAAUCAAAAGCAUGGGUCUUGGGUGCCAAACCAAAGGUUUUAGCUUCAGCCUCUCACCCAUUUGCCUGGUUGUGUGUUCCUUGCAGUCGGCCAGCCUUGCUGGGGAUGAAUACCUGCGUCAUAUGACCUGCAGCUCUCCUCCUGUUAUGUGUGUCCCCCCAAAUGCUGAACAGGGGAGAAGUGCAUUUGCAUCCAAGCUACGUACGGCUUAUCAACUUCGUAACCCGGGACAAUUUGCUUUGCUUCUUGGACCUUAGGGUUUUUUGUUUUUUGUUUUUCCUACAAAAUGGGGAUUAAAAAAAAAAUCCGUCCUUACCUCCUGAGGUGGUUAUGAAGGUUGGACCAGGUGGUGCCUGUAACUCGCUUGGCCUAGCACCUGUCCCUGGAGAGUGCUCAGUAAAGGUAGGUUGACCAAUUACUAGUUAGUUACGGGUGCAUUCCCGCAGACCUGAGCAUUCUCCGGGUUGAGUCCAACCAACCCGCAGGGUAGCUUCUCAAGCUGGGGGUCCAUAGCUCAUGGCAGGUGGGUUUGGAGUUUAGGCUCCUCAAAGUCAGGAGAGACCCAUCCAGGUUUGCCAUUUGAUGGGCGACAAAGGCUUCAGAUGUUUUGUAGUUCUUUUAGAAUUUCCUACGUGUUCCCAUUCAUGCAAAAGGAAGAUCUCUCUUACACACACACACACACACACACACACACACACACACACACACACACACCUGUGCGCACAUGCGCUCGGACUAUAUCAUGAAGGACGCGCCAAAAAAUGAUAAUAGUGGCUGCUUCUAAAGAGGUUCACUUUUCUUUUUUUUUGGCUUUUUUUUAGGGGCACACCUGCAGCAUGUGGAGGUUCUCGGGGUAGGGGUCAAAUCAGAGCUACAGCUGCUGGCCUACACCACAGCCAGAGAAACAGCAGAUCUGAGCCACGUCUGCAAACUAUACACCACAGCUCACGGCAACGCCGGAUCCUUAAUCCACUGAGCGACGCUAGGGAUGCAACCUGCAACCUCAUGGUUCCUAGUUAGAUUCGUUUCUGCUGCGCCAUGAAGGGAGCUCCUAAAGAGGCUCGCUUCUAAGGAGGUUCACUUGCUAAGCAGGAGGGAAGCUUAGCAUUGACUCUGUGACGCUUUUCAUCUUGCUGGAAGUUUUUAACCUGGAAGUUUUUAACCAUGUGCAUGUAUUAGUUCUUCAGUCACUAAGAAAAAAGUUCUUGGGGGUUCUCUGAACUCCAAGAUCCGGCAUCGUCACUGCUGUGGUGGGGGUUCAAUCCCUGGCCCAGGAACUUCUGCAAGCCGAGGGUGUUGUUAAAAAAACAAAAACAAAAACCAAACCAAACAAAUCCUUCAAAGUCCACUGGGUAGUAAAAGAUCCUUGAAUGCCAUCCUGCUUCCUAAUGUAUUUAUAAGAGGUCCUAGGAGUUUUCAGAAAUCUCUCUGUUUUAUGGCUCUCCAUCUGAAUCCCAGGCCAGCCUCCCCUCACACAGCCCAGCUCUCACCCCCUUGAAGGCCUCCUUCCUGCCUUCCAGAAUCUUCCAGCCUGAGUCCUGGACACCCCCCCCCAAUGAGGCCCCCAGGCGGCUGGCCACCCCUCUGUUCCUCCCCUGGGGGUGGCCCAUGUGGGGAGCCCUGAGCCUGACUGAGCAGGCCUGAGGCUGGGGGCCUUGGCUGCCUCCUCCUCAGCCUGCCUCCUGGCCCCGGUGCCUCCUGCAGAAGGAAGAGUCUAUGCAGGCUGUUCCUAUCCUUCUUUGAACCAAGCCCUGUUCCAAGAAUUUCAGGGCCGCUCUGCUUGCAGGGUUGAGCUGCUGCUCCCUCCGGCCCCAUGCGCGGAGGUGGCAGCUCCUUGGAAAAGUUUCUUUUCCUCUUUCUUUCUGGCACAGAGGGUGGAUUCCCUGCCCCGCCCCAGACCAUGCGUCUUAGGGGUUAUUUGAGGUGAGUCCUAAAGAAGCAUCUUGCUCUCUGUGCGUCAGUGGGACAGGAGCAGAAUGCUGAAAACCCCAUCUUCCUCCCUCCCAGAAGCCUUUGGUGCCCCCAGCCCCUGUGGGAAGCCCCUUCCUUGCUCCCCCAGCUGCGUCAUCACAGCCACUGAGCCCGGCUGCUAUAGCCUCCUCCUGUCCUCGGAGGCCAUCUAGUUCAGAGGUGAGCAAUUUUUUUUUUUUUUUUAAUCCAACAACCAAUUCAGGAAACAUGAAAGCAUUUAUAGGCCCACUUUUUGGUUUUUCCAUUGAAAUUGAACAUAGCCUUGUGAAUCUUGGGGGUGGGGCUGGGGGCAGGCAUCGGUCUCUCUUCCCAGGGCUUGGCGCAUCCCCUUCCUAAGAGGGAAGACCCUUAUUAUUAUCAUUAUUUUUUGCUAGACAAUGGAAAUACGUGAUUUAAUAGUUUUCUUUUUUAACAUAUACAUUGAUUUUUUAAAAUUACUCAGUGAAUUUAAUUACAUUUAUAGCUGUACAAUGAUCAUCACAACCCAAUGUUACAGCAUUUCCAUCCCAAACCCCCAGUGCAUCCCCCCACCCCCCAAUCUGUCUCCUUUGGAAACCACAAGUUUUUCAAAGUCCGUGAGUCAGUAUCUGUUCUGCAAAGAAGUUCAUUGUGUCUUUUUUUUAGAUUCCUUAUGUCAGUGAAAGCUUUUGAUGUUGGCGUCUCAUUGACUGACUGACUUCACUUAGCAUGUUAAUUUCUAGGUCCAUCCCUGUUGCUGCAAAUGCCGUUGUUUCUUUCCUUUAAUGGCUGAGUAAUAUUCCAUUGUGGAUAGUACCACAUCUUCGUUAUCCACUCCUCUGUUGAUGGUCAUUUAGGUUGUUUCCAUGUCUUGGCUAUUGCAGAUAGUGCUGCAGUGAACCUUAGAGUACAUGUGUCUUUUCGAGUCAUAGUUUUCUCUGGAUAGACGCCCAGGAGUGGGAUUGCCGGACCAAAUGGUAAUUGUAUUUUUAGUUUUCUGUGGACUCUCCAUACUGUUUUCUGCAGUGGUUGCACCAAUUUACAUUCCCACCAGCAGUGUGGGAUUCCCUUUUCCUCCCACCUUCUCCAGCAUUUAUUGUUUACUUUUUGAUGAUGGCCGUUCUGACCAGAAGACCCUUAUUGAGAAGGGCCAGGAGUUCCCGCUGUGACUCAGCAGUAACAAACCCUACCAGGAUUCAUGAGGACGCAGGUUCAAUCCCUGGCCUCGCUCUGUGGGUUAAGGCUCUGUUGUUGCCAUAUGCCAUGGGUAGGUCACAGUUGAAGAUCGGACCUGGUAUUGCUGUGGCUGUGGGUAGGCCAGCGGCUACAGCUCUGAUUGGACCCCUAGCCUGGGAGCUUCCAUAUGCCGCAGGUGUGGCCCUGAAGAAAAAAAAAAAAAAAAAAAAAAAAAA
rnacentral:lncRNA from 1 species